AGAAGAAUACAUGAUUUCCCUAGUAACGGCGAGUGAAGAGGAAAGAGCUCAAAGUUGGAAACUGUUUGGCUUAGCUAAACCGUAUUGUAAACUGUAGAAACAUUUUCCUGGCACACCAGAUUAAUAAGUCCUUUGGAACAAGGCAUCAUGGAGGGUGAGAAUCCCGUCUUUGAUCUGAGUAGUUGUCUUUUGUGAUAUGUUUUCAAAGAGUCAGGUUGUUUGGGAAUGCAGCCUAAAUUGGGUGGUAAAUCUCACCUAAAGCUAAAUAUUUGCGAGAGACCGAUAGCGAACAAGUACCGUGAGGGAAAGAUGAAAAGAACUUUGAAAAGAGAGUUAAACAGUAUGUGAAAUUGUUAAAAGGGAACCGUUUGGAGCCAGACUGGUUUGACUGUAAUCAACCUAGAAUUCGUUUUGGGUGCACUUGCAGUCUAUACCUGCCAACAACAGUUUGAUUUGGAGGACAAAAUUAAUAGGAAUGUAGCCUCUCGAGGUGUUAUAGACUAUUAUCAUACUCUGGAUUGGACUGAGGAACGCAGCGAAUGCCUUUAGGCAAGAUUGCUGGGUGCUUUCGCUAAUAAAUGUUAGAAUUUCUGCUUCGGGUGGUGCUAAUGUUUAAAGGAGGAACACAUCUAGUAUAUUUUUUAUUCGCUUAGGUUGUUGGCUUAAUGACUCUAAAUGACCCGUCUUGAAACACGGACCAAGGAGUCCACCAUAAGUGCAAGUAUUUGAGUGACAAACUCAUAUGCGUAAGGAAACUGAUUGAUACGAAGUCUUACGAUGGCAGUAUCACCCGGCGU
rnacentral:rRNA from 1 species